GACAGAGGUGGCAAGCGUUGUUCGGAAUCACUGGGCUUAAAGGGCGCGUAGGCGGCAUGGUAAGUCUGGGGUGCAAUCCUAUAGCUCAACUAUAGAACUGCCCUGGAAACUGUCGUGCUUGAGUCAGUGAGGGGAGGGCGGAAUUCCCGGUGUAGCAGUGAAAUGCGUAGAUAUCGGGAGGAAGGCCGGUGGCGAAGGCGGCCCUCUGGCGCUUGACUGACGCUGAGGCGCGAAAGCGUGGGGAGCAAACAGG
rnacentral:rRNA from 1 species